rnacentral:misc_RNA from 1 species
AAUUUCAUUCACCCCUACAGAAUCCAGGCUUGGAACCUCAAGGCCUGAGGCAGGUUUCUCAAUCCUAUCAGUAGUUGGCCGAUCUGAAGCAUUAAUAAGGGAAGGUUCUCGACUCCCAAGCAACAUUUGCUCAGUUCCAUGUGUUAAGCUCCUCAUUUGCUCUGUUGAGAUACUAGAUGUGUGACUAGAUUGAGUGGAUCCUACUCCAGGGCCAGUAGCUUGCCUGCUUUUUGGAGAACUGGUUUCUUCUCCCUCACUAUCCGAAAAUACAUCAUCUUCAUUCUCGGCAACUUUUUUUCGGUUGGAAUAAGUCUCAACUCCACCACUUGGUUUCAGAGUAUAACCUGUACUUGUAGUACCAUCAGAUCCUUUGGUGGCAGAAUCACCUUUAGAACUUGUUGGCAAAGUACCAUCAUAAUCUAUCAUCACAACUUCAACUUGAAACCCUGGUGAAGGCAGUUUUCUCUUGUCAAAACCAUCAAGAUCAGACGCAUUUAGUGUUUUUCUAUUCUCGGUCAUCGUUGUAUUUAACCAACAGUAGAAAU